rnacentral:rRNA from 1 species
UACGUAGGGGGCAAGCGUUGUCCGGAAUCAUUGGGCGUAAAGAGCGCGUAGGCGGCCCUGUAAGUCCGCUGUGAAAGUCAAGGGCUCAACCCUUGGAUGCCGGUGGAUACUGCAGGGCUAGAGUCCGGAAGAGGCGAGUGGAAUUCCUGGUGUAGCGGUGAAAUGCGCAGAUAUCAGGAGGAACACCGGUGGCGAAGGCGGGUCUCUGGGCAACAACUGACGCCGAGGAGCGAAAGCGUGGGGAGCGAACAGG